UUAGCUGAGUUCACCCUCACGUGGUGGUUUGGCGUGAAAUGAACUCCAAAGUUUUAUCUCAGGAGUUACCCUACGCGCCUCUCCGAUCGAGGUAAGAAUAUAACCGAAUUUCGUACCCCUCUAAUAGGCUGGUCUACAGAACCCGCCUACUGCAGCAAGCUAAACCCACCAUACAAUAAAAUUUGUGAUAGCAUGACAUGGCAAUUAUUUUAUUUUACAGCCUCUCAAGGCAAAUCAACAGUUCAUACAUUUUCAGCACAUUUACCAAUUUAACCAUUCAUGCCAAUAUUGCCAUAAGCCAAUUAAUUAGAACCAUAAAUUUACAACACAUCAAGUGGUCUCCAAUUACUCUAUUUUCAAAACCAUCAUUCAAUUUCAAGACAAUUUUAUAAAAUCAUUUCAUUUAAUUACAUUUUGCUUAUAAAAUAUAAAGAUUUACCAUUUAAACUCAUUUUCCAUAAAAUCACAAAAACGAAUUAAAAUUCACUUUAAAUAAUCAAGAUGAUGAUAAGGUUACUCACUGUAAUGGGAAUCGAAUUCCAUGUACUCCGAUUCUUGACCCUCGGGUACUAUCUCUUUACUCUUGCCAGAAUGCUCACUACCUAGACAUAAUUCAUAAUAAGCCAUUUACUACAUUUGUGCUAAAUUGUUAUAAAACCAAUUCAGGCUCUAUACUAAUGCAUGAAAUGGGAUGUGAAAUGAUCGGGUAACCAUCUAAAUACGGCGCUCAAUAUAUGUUCAAUUGUGUACCUAAAUAAAAUGGUAUUAGCCUAAUUCGAUCCAUCGCCCGAUCAAUUGGCCAAUAUGUCCAAUUCAACUCCAAACAAUUCCAUUUCUCUCCCAAUACUCCAAAUCAUUAAACUCAAGUCAAGUAACAUAAAAUUUAGCAAGAUCAUCUUCACAUUUCUUCUUGGGAAUUUUGGCCAAGGUAAGUGCAUGAACACUAUGGUUUUUCCCACUUGAUUUUUACACCAUAAAUCAUUAAUUCUUAACCAAAUCACUUGAAAUAAAAUCAAGUCCACCAUCAACACACCAUAGGGAAGAUUCGGCCAAUGAAGGGUGAUGGAAGAAAAUGAAUUUUUCUUGUUUGCUUUUCAUGCUACACAUCACUAACUAACUAAAAAUACUAGAAUAUAUUGAAAUCUAACCAAAUCCAAGUUCAAAACUCCUCCCCCCAUGUCCAGCCAACAAAGGUAUCCUCAUGCAAACUUGAUUCUCAACCAUGGAAAAUGAAAAAGAAUGCACAGGAAAGGUAGAUCACAAGCUAGAAUUGAAAAAUCUUACCUUUAAUGGCUUGAUUCCUUGAAAUUUGGUGAAUUUCUCUUGAAUUUCUUAGCUAGGGUUUUUGUUCUUCUUCUUUUCUUCCCUUGUCUUCCUUUGGCCGACCAAGAGAAAUGAGUUGG
rnacentral:lncRNA from 1 species